GGAGUCUAGGGAACAGUCGAGAGUCACGCAAAUGUUAGAGGUGCCCUUGGCCUCAUGAGUGGUCGGUAGAAGGCGGCUGCAAGGAGCCUUUGAAAUGGUGCCGAGUUCUUCCUCUGCCAGAAAGCCUUUCCUCCGCGCUGACUGUGUCAAAGGCUACUCCCAGAUUCACAGGGAGAUCAAGUAUUUUGCCCAAGAGCACACAGCUAGAGAGUGGAGAAGUCCGGAUUCAACCCAGACAGAUUGACUCCAGAGCGUGUGCUAUUCGUGGCUAUGCCAGAAUGCCCUGAUGGCCUCAGGUUUGCCUUGCCAACUGACAAAGGCGACUGUUUCCUACCCAUUGGCUCAGAUGGUUCCAGCUUCCUACCCUUCCAGUUAAAAUAAACAAAAACGAGGGUCUUGAGUGUCUAUGAUUUUCAUAAGAUCUAUGGCGUUUCUUCUGCAGAUGAUCAACAGUUGCCUGCCUUGGACUUUGGAGUUCCCAAGAACUAGAAAAUCCAGGUCAGGAACUGUAUCUUUGCUCAGCCACCUGCAAACAGACUUGAGAACAAUGUAAACCACCCUCUGCAGGAUAUUGAUUCUGAUGGAGUAAAUGUUGAUUAAGCAGAAUGGUGUUUUUUUUUUUAACUGGAGGAAUUCCAGAUCUUUCCUUAGGCCUGUCUCUCCAGGGAAAUGAGCUCUAGCCUUAAAAAUCUACAGAAAACCUGAGUAAGAAUGAAGAUUUAUG
rnacentral:lncRNA from 1 species